AAAAAGUGUAAAUUGAAAUUGACCCUUCGAAUGUUUCUGCGUAAGUGGUAUUCAGUGAUUUCGGUGGGAAAAUUGUUGUGUUUCAGUGAAAGUGUUUUAUCGUUAUGGACUUGACUUUACGCGAUAUUUCACACACUCUUCUGGAGCUGACGAGGCGAGCGAAAUUAACAAGGUGUAGGAUGUGGCGACGGUGGUAGAGCGGCGCG